rnacentral:rRNA from 1 species
CCUACGGGAGGCAGCAGUGGGGGAUAUUGCGCAAUGGGGGGAACCCUGAUGCAGCGACGCCGCGUGGGUGAAGGAGUGCUUCGGCAUGUAAAGCCCUAUCGGCAGGGCAGAAGCAAGACGGUCCCUGACUAAGAAGCCCCGGCUAACUAGGUGCAAGCAGCCGCGGUAAGACGUAGGGGGAGAGCGUUAUCCGGAUUCACUGGGGGUAAAGGGAGGAUAGACGGACAUGCAAGCCAGGUGUGAAAGCCCGGGGCCCAACCCCGGGACUGCCCUUGGAACUGCAUGGCUGGAGUGCGGGAGGGGCAGGCGGAAUUCCUGGUGUAGCGGUGAAAUGCGUAGAUAUCAGGAGGAACACCGGCGGCGAAGGCGGCCUGCUGGACCGCGACUGACGUUGAGGCACGAAAGCGUGGGGAGCGAACAGGAUUAGAUACCCCUGUAGUC